rnacentral:rRNA from 1 species
CGCCUCUUGUACACCAAACAUAAGAGGUCCCGCCUGCCCUGUGACUAUAAGUUUAACGGCCGCGGUAUUUUAACCGUGCGAAGGUAGCGCAAUCACUUGUCUUUUAAAUGAAGACCUGUAUGAAUGGCAUCACGAGGGCUUAGCUGUCUCCUCUUUCAAGUCAAUGAAAUUGAUCUACCCGUGCAGAAGCGGGUAUAAAACCAUAAGACGAGAAGACCCUAUGGAGCUUUAGACACCCGGCAGACCCUGUUAAGCAGCUCUAAAUUAUUAAACUGAAACAAAACGGUUCCUGGCCUUAUGUCUUCGGUUGGGGCGACCACGGGGGAAAACAAAGCCCCCACAAGGACUAAGGAUAAAAUCCUUAUAACCACGAGCUACAGCUCUAAGAAUCAGAACUUCUGACCAAAAAGAUCCGGCAAUCGCCGAUCAAUGGACCAAGUUACCCUAGGGAUAACAGCGCAAUCCUCUCCCAGAGUCCCUAUCGACGAGGGGGUUUACGACCUCGAUGUUGGAUCAGGACAUCCUAAUGGUGCAGCCGCUAUUAAGGGUUCGUUUGUUCAACGAUUAA